GUUAGAGAGUACGGGGCGUUCACAGACUCCCUUAGCCCGCCAGCAUGCUGCAUAUAAGGAGUUUGUCGAGCAUAGGAAUCUCGAGGUGCGGGAGUACUUGAAACGAGUGAAGGCAAACGAUGAUUACAACCGUCAGAUGAUGACGGCUAUGUUGGCGUCUUGGACUAACCGCACGGAUCCACCACAAAUGGGACCCCCACCACCACCUGCGGGAGAACCCCCACACGUGCCCACGUUCGAUGAAUGGGUGGCACUAGGCAGUGAUGGUUCGGGGACCGGUGGCUCGACUCCUGCUCCGUCGACCCCAGUCACUCCGAUCUGGCAGAGUGGUGGUGGUCGC